rnacentral:rRNA from 1 species
AUUGGACUACCAUGGCAGUCACGGGUAACGGAGAAUUAGGGUUCGGUUCCGGAGAGGGAGCCUGAGAAACGGCUACCACAUCUAAGGAAGGCAGCAGGCGCGUAAAUUACCCAAUCCCGAUUCGGGGAGGUAGUGACAAGAAAUAGCAAACUGGAUGAAUUUUCAUCACAGUAUUGCAAUGAGAACAAUGUAAAUGCUUUAUCGAUUAACAAUUGGAGGGCAAGUCUGGUGCCAGCAGCCGCGGUAAUUCCAGCUCCAAUAGCGUAUAUUAAAGUUGUUGCAGUUAAAAAGCUCGUAGUUGAACUUCUGUACAUUCCCAGUUCUGGCUUCGGUCAAGCUGUGGAGUGUGCAUCCGCUUGCAAACUUAGACCGGCCUUCACUGGUCGACUAAGGGAGUAAGCCCUUUACUUUGAAAAAAUUAGAGUGUUUCAGGCAGGCAAUGGCUCGAAUACAUUAGCAUGGAAUAAUGGAAUAGGACUUUUGUCCAUUUGGUUGGUUAUUGGACAUAAGUAAUGAUUAAAAGGGACAGUUGGGGGCAUUAGUACUUAAUUGUCAGAGGUGAAAUUCUUGGAUUUAUUAAAGACUAACUUAUG